ACUAUACUAAAAUCUUUGUACAGAUUUUGAGAAUCAGUGCUGUGUGAUAUUUUGAGAAGGAAAGAAUUUUAAAAUGUUCUUACAUGUCGAAGUCGACUAUGUGCACCACAUAUUCGACUGUAUUAGUUGUUUGAUUUGAAAUUUUGUUAUGCUCAUGAAUAGUAACGACUAUAUUUUCAAAAGAUAGUUGAGCAUUGAAUAGUAGGUCAACUGUAUUAAAUGAGUUUUUAAUUUGUUGGACUGAAAGAAAAAAAAUAGAAAACGAAAAAAAAAGGAAAAAGAAAAGAAAGAAUAAAAAAGAAAAAAGGAAAAAAAAGUAAACCGAAAAAGGAAGAUAAUAAAAGGAAAAAAACGUAAAUAGAAAAAAGAGAGAAAAAAGGAAUAAUGAUGAUUGAUUUUAGAUGCGGGAGUUACAUCCUUUCCAUCAUCAUCACCAAUCCACACCUUUUCUCACCACUCCAACCCUCUCUCCUCUUACUGUAACUUCCCCAAAUUCUUUUCCUUUCUCAAUGGGAAUUUUGGAAUGCGGGUGAGAGACACACAAUCCUUUCCUUUCCAUGACUCCCGUCCAAACCUGCAUACCAAUGAUACCUCGCAACACC
rnacentral:lncRNA from 1 species